UUUCGGCAGCAAGAACGCGCUGGUUUGUUCUCGCGGAGGGAGGGCGGCUUGGAUGGGAGACCACGAGGGAAUCUCCGCGGGAGGCUUCGCUGGGGGAUAAUCUCCUUCCAAGAAAACAGAACCGCUACCAAGAAAAAGAGGCCUGGGUGGUGAAGUCAGUAGAAGUUCCAGAUGGGCUCCAGGCUGAAUGUGCCCGGAUCCCUCUGAAGGCCCAAGAAAACUCUCGACAACUUGGAAGUCAGUUCUUGAAUCAAAUUCUCUUCGGAAGCUUUCUCCUCGAUUGGAGGGUGACGGUGUUGCCUGAGAAUAUUUCCACGCCAUCCAGUCAACCGUUGGUUUUUCCAACAGCCGCUUUGGGCCCCUUUCCCUCCCGGUGGCCUUCCUGACCUGCCAGUUGCGAAGAAUUUCAGCUCAGCUGCAGGAAAAUGGCUCUGCUCAGACUUGUCUGAUGGGGUCCUUGCGGGGAAAGCCAUGCUAAUUUGUCACACCUUUAGAUCAGACAGCAGAUACAGCCUUGGGGAGGGGUGCCAGAUUUUCAAUUUCUGCCAUUUUAGCUUUCUGGGAAAAGAAGGCUGAAGAGAUGGGUGGGCUUUUUUCUGUAGUGGGAAUAAAAGUAAUUAGAAAAGUUCUCCUCCUCACCCUCUUCCUCCUCCCUUGUGCUCCCUUUCCCAUUUCUCCCCUCUCCCUCCUCCUUCCCUUUUCCUCUUCCUCCUCCCGUCUCCCUCUUCUUUCUACUCCCCCUCUCCUCCUCCCUUCUCCCCUUCCCCAUUCUCCCCCUCUUCCUCCCCCUUUCCUCCUCCUCUUCCCUCUAUCCCUCCUCCCCCUCUCCCCUGUCCUCUCCUAUUGGGCUAGGAUGGUGUUGAGCCUCUGAAAGAUUUGGUAAUGGUUUCAUAUGGUUUAGUUUUUGGACUUACAUCUCUUUGUUAUGUAAAGCAUCCAGAGUUGUUUGGAUCUUGGGUGUUUUUUAAUCUAUGUAAAUAAAUAAAUGUGAGGAUGCUAAGGUAA